CGGGUGAGUAACGCGUGAGGAACCUGCCUCAAAGAGGGGGACAACAGUUGGAAGCGACUGCUAAUACCGCAUAAGCCCACGGCUCGGCAUCGAGCAGAGGGAAAAGGAGUGAUCCACUUUGAGAUGGCCUCGCGUCCGAUUAGCUAGUUGGUGAGGUAACGGCCCACCAAGGCGACGAUCGGUAGCCGGACUGAGAGGUUGAACGGCCACAUUGGGACUGAGACACGGCCCAG
rnacentral:rRNA from 1 species